GGGUGGGUGCUUCAGCUCAGACAUAAUGGCGGCGGUGGACCAGGCCGUUGCUGACGGGGUAGACGUGCUGUCCAUCUCCCUCGGCGGCGGUGUCUCUUCCUACUACCGUGACAGUCUCUCCGUCGCCGCUUUUGGUGCCAUGGAGAAGGGAGUGUUUGUGGCCUGCUCGGCUGGCAACAGCGGGCCGGAGCCGAUCAGCCUCACCAACGUAUCUCCAUGGAUCACUACAGUCGGAGCCAGCACCAUGGACCGGGACUUCCCGGCCACCGCCAAGCUCGGGAAUGGCAUGAAUGUGAGUGGUGUCUCUCUAUAUAAAGGCCGGGCAAGCCUCUCGCCGAGCCGUCAGUAUCCGUUGAUCUAUAUGGGCGGCAACUCCACCAGCAGCCCCGACCCGAGAUCCCUCUGUCUAGAAGGUACUCUUGACCGCCGCACCGUCGCCGGAAAGAUUGUCAUCUGC
rnacentral:misc_RNA from 1 species